rnacentral:rRNA from 1 species
CACAAGCAGUGGAGUAUGUGGUUUAAUUCGAAGCAACGCGAAGAACCUUACCAGGGACUUGACAUCCCUUGAAGCAGCUAGAGAUAGCUGUGUCCUUCGGGACAAGGAGACAGGUGGUGCAUGGUUGUCGUCAGCUCGUGUCGUGAGAUGUUGGGUUAAGUCCCGCAACGAGCGCAACCCCUGUGGUUAGUUGCCAGCAAGUAGCGUUGGGCACUCUAGCCAGACUGCCGGUGAUAAAUCGGAGGAAGGUGGGGACGACGUCAAAUCAUCAUGCCCUUUAUGUCCUGGGCUACACACGUACUACAAUGGCCGUUACAACGGGAAGCGAAGGAGCAAUCCGGAGCAAAUCCCUUAAAGGCGGUCCCAGUUCAGAUUGUGGGCUGAAACUCGCCCACAUGAAGGCGGAAUUGCUAGUAAUUGCAGAUCAGCAUGCUGCAGUGAAUACGUUCCCGGGCCUU